GGCAGUAAGGCUCUGUGGUAGAGCACCUGUCUAGCAAGUACGAGGCCCUGAGUUCAAACCCCAGUACCAACA
rnacentral:tRNA from 1 species